rnacentral:rRNA from 1 species
UACGUAGGGUGCAAGCGUUAAUCGGAAUUACUGGGCGUAAAGCGUGCGCAGGCGGUGAUGUAAGACAGGUGUGAAAUCCCCGGGCUUAACCUGGGAACUGCAUUUGUGACUGCAUCGCUGGAGUGCGGCAGAGGGGGAUGGAAUUCCGCGUGUAGCAGUGAAAUGCGUAGAUAUGCGGAGGAACACCGAUGGCGAAGGCAAUCCCCUGGGCCUGCACUGACGCUCAUGCACGAAAAGCGUGGGGAGCAAACAGG